GAUGAACGCUGGCGGCGUGCCUAAUACAUGCAAGUCGAACGCAUAGCGAAAGGUGCUUGCACCUUUCAAGUGAGUGGCGAACGGGUGAGUAACACGUGGACAACCUGCCUCAAGGCUGGGGAUAACAUUUGGAAACAGAUGCUAAUACCGAAUAAAACUUAGUGUCGCAUGACACAAAGUUAAAAGGCGCUUCGGCGUCACCUAGAGAUGGAUCCGCGGUGCAUUAGUUAGUUGGUGGGGUAAAGGCCUACCAAGACAAUGAUGCAUAGCCGAGUUGAGAGACUGAUCGGCCACAUUGGGACUGAGACACGGCCCAAACUCCUACGGGAGGCUGCAGUAGGGAAUCUUCCACAAUGGGCGAAAGCCUGAUGGAGCAACGCCGCGUGUGUGAUGAAGGCUUUCGGGUCGUAAAGCACUGUUGUAUGGGAAGAACAGCUAGAAUAGGAAAUGAUUUUAGUUUGACGGUACCAUACCAGAAAGGGACGGCUAAAUACGUA
rnacentral:rRNA from 1 species